rnacentral:rRNA from 1 species
UACGUAGGGUGCGAGCGUUUAAUCGGAAUUACUGGGCGUAAAGCGUGCGCAGGCGGUUCGUUGUGUCGGUGGUGAAAUCCCCGGGCUCAACCUGGGAAUGGCAUUUGAGACUGCACAGCUAGAGUGUGUCAGAGGGGGGUAGAAUUCCACGUGUAGCAGUGAAAUGCGUAGAGAUGUGGAGGAAUACCGAUGGCGAAGGCAGCCCCCCUGGGAUAACACUGACGCUCAUGCACGAAAGCGUGGGGAGCAAACAGG